UACGGGGGGGGCAAGCGUUGUUCGGAAUUACUGGGCGUAAAGGGCGCGUAGGCGGCCCUCUAAGUCGAACGUGAAAUCCCCGGGCUCAACCCGGGAACUGCGUCCGAUACUGGAAGGCUUGAAUCCGGGAGAGGGAUGCGGAAUUCCAGGUGUAGCGGUGAAAUUCGUAGAUAUCGGGAGGAACACCGGUGGCGAAGGCGGCGACCUGGGUCGAGACUGACGCUGAGGCGCGAAAGCGUGGGGAGCAAACAGG
rnacentral:rRNA from 1 species